ensembl:antisense Gm44097 predicted gene, 44097
AGAACUAGCGUACAAGCUUAACAGAGUCACAGUGCCCAACAUGAACACUAAAAGCUGCUGUUUCUGUUUUACAGGGCUGUGGAGGAAACCUGGGGCCUGACACUGAAAAGAACAUGUUUAAAGUGCUGCAACAGUGGAUACCCAGCAGAAAGACACGAAUCACUGAGGUGGCUGCUGGGACAGUAAGCUGGACUUCGACAAGAUCACAUGAAGUUGUAGCACAAACACUGGGAAUACAAAGGUAAAAGACAGCACACACUGGAGCAAACACCACUAGGCUUAAGUUUCCUAAGCCAAGUGUUUUCCAGAAAGACAAAUGACGUGACUACUGCAGCCCAAGAAUGACUCAACCCUAGAGUGAUUUCCCUGAAGCAUCUGUGAAGGUGGAGGAAUCAGAUACAAACACCAUCACUCACCUGCAGCUCACCAGGCAAUCUUACCUCAGAGUACACUCCAUCUCCACUUCAGAUUCUGCAGAGAAAACACGGAAAGCGUACUUGUCAAGUAACAGGGAAAAGCUAUCCCCGGGAUGCAACUGGCUCCACACUUGUGUCUCCAUUAGCGAGUGUUGGCUCUUCU